rnacentral:lncRNA from 1 species
UAAAAUAUAAAUUAAAAAUGGAGGUAAAAACAUAGAGGAAAAGUGAAUAAUGAAGCUUCACUCUAUGAAAAAAAGUAUUCUUUCGUAUUGAUGAGAGAAAAAAACUUUUGUAUGUAUAAAUAUAGAAGUGUUCCUUUAUGUGGAUAGUGAGACAAAAAGAAGACAAGUCUCACGCCAUCAUCGUCGUCGAUGCUUGCUCAUCUAGAUUUCAGCUUCAAAUUUAAAUUUUAAUUUGUCAAAUUAUUGAUCGAGAGACUCUCUUUGUGGAUGCACACACAUAGGUGCAGAUGCAUGUCACAACGCACCUCGAAGAGACGCGAUCCUCCGGGGCAGUAUUUAAAAAUGAAAAAGAGACCUGCACACAUAAUCUACCAUCUGUGUUGGGUCCGCAGGUUACACGUAAACUUUAUAUUUCGCUCAUGGGUUGGCCUGCGGUCGCAUGUGGCACAUCUAUGCCCGCAAAUGGGUCUGCAAGUCAGGUGACUUAUCGAAAAGUUGUGACUUUUCAUCAACGAUUGCUUUCUUUUUAAAACAUUACCUUUUGAGCUAUAAAUAUUUAUCUUUUUCUCAGAUGAAGAUACGAAAUAUAUUAUUUUACUAAAUUAAAAACUUUCUUUUAAAAGAAAAUAAAAGUAAGUGUAAUUUACUCCUUUUGUUGAGUUAACCGAAGUUUUUCAUAUUGUAGAAUCAUGUUCUAUUCUAUCCUGGAAGAAAUUAAUUCAAACUUUGGACAAUUAUGAGGAGAUUAAAUUCUUUAAGGAAUCACAGUUUACUGUGGGCUUAGAACUUUCAUUUCUUUAUCAUUUUUUCUUAUUUUUGAUUGUAAGAAAUAACAUACAUUCUCAUCUUCUUCACUUUUUGAAUAAUAUUCUUUACUUUCACUCAAUCCAAAUGUAUACGAUGUAUAUAUUAUGCAUGCAAUAUUCUGAGUAAAUGAGCAACUCAAGUCUCCCUUUUAGAAUUUUGCAAAAUCUCUUUCAUAAGUUGAUUUCAAUCAACAACAUUUGAUUUGUGAUUAUUGAUUCAUUGCAUCAUUCUUCUACAUAACUUCUUGGAACAAUCAUAAUGAGCCAAUGGAUAAUCCUUUGAUUCACUUUUUAUUGAUCAAAGACAACCACCUUGAUCAAAACUUACUACUCAUGCGAUUGAUUUGUCAAUUAUUAUUAGUUUUUCUUGUAAUUAUAGACACAAUGUGAACUUAGCUUUGAUAACUCCAUCAAAGCUAUUUAUUGAGUCAUAAAUUUUUUGCAAGUUUGUCUUGACCAUGCACUUAGGCGAUAUGU